AGGGCGUUUGGUGGAUGCCUUGGCGCAUGGAGGCGAUGAAGGACGUGUUAGGCUGCGAUAAGCCCGGAGGAGCUGCCAAAGAGCUUUGAUCCCGGGAUGUCCGAAUGGGGAAACCCACCCUUAGGGGUAUCGGCAUCUGAAUACAUAGGAUGUCGAGGCAAACGCGGGGAAUUGAAACAUCUUAGUACCCGUAGGAAAGGAAAUCGAAGAGACUCCGUUAGUAGUGGCGAGCGAACGCGGACCAGGCCA
rnacentral:rRNA from 1 species